CCUUAUCUGGUAAACGGCCGCAGCCAAAACUGUGUUAAUGUAGCGCGAUGAAUUGCCCUUUAAUUGGGGGAGAGUACGAAUGGUUGGACGCGGUCAAGUCUGUGUCAGGAAUAAAACGUGAAAUUUCCUUCUCAGUGAAAAGGCUGAGAUUUUUAUAAUAGACGAGAAGACCCCGUCGAGCUUGGUAAGGUGACUAGGUCGGGGUGCCUACCAAGGGAAUGUAAUAGUUUAAUGCGGUCCACCUGUGGUGAUAUAGAUGAGCUACGAUUCUAAUGCAAGGCGUGUGGUAAUAGGUGCCUUCGUAAGUGUUGGYGUCCUGUUAUUGAUGUGCUUUGUGUUUUAGUAGUGCAAAGUAGUUCGAUUUAGAUGUUUUUGGUGUUUUCACCAAGGUUUUACACUAUAUGCGGACAGCUAAUCGUGGGAUAGGUGGACUAGUAUCUGGCCCGUCUGGUUGUCGAUGUUUUGUUGGGGCAACACGAAGCUAGAAAGAACGCUUCGGGCCACGGUAUGCGGAUCCUGUACUGAUGGAUAAUCAGCAAAAGCUACCGCGGGGAUAACAGCGCAAUUCCCUCGGAUAGGCCAUAUUGAAGGGGGAGAUUGCGACCUCGAUGUUGAAUCAGGGUAUCUACUCGCCGCAGCAGGUGUGUAAGUGGGUCUGUCGCCCUUAAA
rnacentral:rRNA from 1 species